AGUAACAACGAACUGUGAGAAGUCAGCUGAGGUCAUAGUACCGUUUUCUUUUGACGGGAAGGAC
rnacentral:ncRNA from 1 species